AAACUCCUAAACUGGUUUGAAAUUGUGCACUGGUUCUCCUGUGGACCCAGGCAACCUGUGGGUCAUAAUAGGACCCUUUAAAGUGUCUGAAGUUGAGGUGACAAAGUAUACUCAGCUGAUGUGCAUCAGGGAAGCCCUUCUAAAACCAGAUCAGACCCAGGCGAGGCAGAGCCAGAGCUCAGAAUCUAGAGGGCAUCGCUAAAUUGAGUAACAAACAAGCANNNNNNNNNNAACCAACCAACCAACCAACCAACCAACCAACCAACCAACCAACCAACCAACUUCAAACAGCCACAUUUUGUCCUGGGGGUCUUAUGGGAGACUUGAAGUCCGGGAUUCUUACUUCAUGUCCUCUGUUUCGUGGACAAAACACGCAGCAGUAUUUGGAUGUUUUCCAAGGUCUUUUAUUUGGGUCCCUGUCAUUACUUUCUUAGUUGCGCUGGUCCACUUGCUAACUUUCACCAAGACAUAGAAAGAUCUGGGAAGAAAACCACAAAGGGAAAGAAGAGAAGGCAUGGAGGAACGUGGGAUUAGGAAGCACACAGCAGAUGGGCUCAGAUCUCAUUUAUACUGUAGAUCAAGUAGAACUUUUCACUGGACACAUAUAAAACAGCGUUCCCUAUUUAGAAGAGGAGGAAUCGGCGCUCUCCUGGGGAUGAACAGCCUGGACGAAGACUACUGUACACAGCUAGAACUGUAAUGGGGAUUGGUUACCCUGGUGAGAAGAAAGCCAAGCGAGGGCCGACACGUUAGAGCUGAGUUUAGCGUGUUUAGGACUCCCCAGGAUCUGGUCUUUGCUUGUGAAAUCCUUAGAGGCUCAGCUCUUUGGGAACCUGAAGAAAAUGCUCGGCAGAUCUCAGUCUAGGUCCGCCC
rnacentral:lncRNA from 1 species